CUCGCGUGUCGUGUCAGCAGCCGCGGUAAUACGUAGGGUGCGAGCGUUAUCCGGAAUUAUUGGGCGUAAAGAGCUCGUAGGCGGUUUGUCGCGUCUGUCGUGAAAGUCCGGGGCUUAACCCCGGAUCUGCGGUGGGUACGGGCAGACUAGAGUGCAGUAGGGGAGACUGGAAUUCCUGGUGUAGCGGUGGAAUGCGCAGAUAUCAGGAGGAACACCGAUGGCGAAGGCAGGUCUCUGGGCUGUAACUGACGCUGAGGAGCGAAAGCAUGGGGAGCGAACAGGAUUAGAUACCCUGGUAGUCCAUGCCGUAAACGUUGGGCACUAGGUGUGGGGACCAUUCCACGGUUUCCGCGCCGCAGCUAACGCAUUAAGUGCCCCGCCUGGGGAGUACGGCCGCAAGGCU
rnacentral:rRNA from 1 species